rnacentral:misc_RNA from 1 species
UCAAACUUGGUCAUUUAGAGGAAGUAAAAGUCGUAACAAGGUUUCCGUAGGUGAACCUGCGGAAGGAUCAUUAUUGAAUGUUUCUGGAUGGGUUGUUGCUGGCCUCUUGCGGGGUAUGUGCACACCUGUCUUGACAUUAUUCAUCCACCUGUGCACUCAUUGUAGUCUUUGUUGAAAAAUCGAGUAAAGCAGCUAAGCUGUGGAACCACUUCUUCAAAGUCUAUGUCUUUAAACAUCACACCAUAUAGUAUGUUAACCGAAUGUGUAUUCUAUGGGCCUCUGUGUCCAUAAAAACCCUAUACAACUUUCAGCAACGGAUCUCUUGGCUCUCGCAUCGAUGAAGAACGCAGC